rnacentral:misc_RNA from 1 species
CCGAGUUUACAACUCCCAAACCCAAUGUGAACCAUACCAAACUGUUGCCUCGGCGGGGUCACGCCCCGGGUGCGUCGCAGCCCCGGAACCAGGCGCCCGCCGGAGGGACCAACCAAACUCUUUCUGUAGUCCCCUCGCGGACGUUAUUUCUUACAACUCUGAGCAAAAAUUCAAAAUGAAUCA